GUAUUAAGAUACAAAAAUGAACGUCCUUACGGACGCGCGUCAUUUUCUCCGUUUCUUUGGUUCUGUUUCUCUCUCCCUGUCGCUCACAAUCAUCGCCACAAACUGAGUCGAAUUCAAGCAAGAUGUUUUGUGAAUCGAAAUUGAAAGGCGCUGACUUUGUUUGUGCCGGUUCUCUAUCUCUCUCUCUCGCUCUCGGUAAAGGCUUCAGAGACGAUCGGCUUUUCAAAGGAUCUGCCAUGACCAAACGUGGAGCUUACGAGGCUCUCUCUUACAUGGCCUGUGCUGCUAAAACAGAAAGGAACCGGACCAGGAGCAAGAAGCUCUCACGCCAUAGCUCUCGUAGGCAACAAAGUGUACGCCUUUGGGGGCGAGUUCCAGCCCCGUGUCCCCGUGGACAACCAUCUCCACGUUUUCGACCUCCACACUCUAACAUGGUCCAUCUAAGAUGGUCAUCACCAAAUAAGCGGCGUUUCUUGUUUUUCCCCGAUCAGUUAUGGCGGAGGAAGAUGUCAUCGCUUACCCCGUGCAGCCUUCCGACCACAAGCGCAAGCUUGAGAAUGUCGAAUCCGAGAUCCAAGUAAUGUGACGUUUAAUGCUUAUUACCACAAGACCGGGAAAGCUUCGGGGGCUGUGACUUUAAAGGAGUUGCUACGCUUACUACCACUGAUCCAAGUAGAGGAACGUGUGUGUUCCCUAGUAGUAUUGUAACGAAUCAACCUCUCACCGUUUUUGUAUCAAUUCGGAGAAGAUGAACAGCUCCUAAUUCUUUGUUUAUUAAUUUUAGUUUCUUUCCUUGUAAAAGUUAAGAUAACAAUGCUCAGUCCUAGCAAUAAUGUGUACAUUUGCUAUUGUUUCUUAAUAAUGUCUCUUAGUAUAAAAAUAUUAAUAAAAAAAACCUAAGAACUCAAAAUUUAGUCCCAGCAAUAAGGUAAUAUCUUCAUCGCUUACCUUUGGACUCCCACUUCUUCCAUUUCUCAUCUAUCCAAAUCCGUUUCGAGGAUUAACUUCACCACUAACUCCUCUAAUCAAUGGAUUCCUUUCAGCUUCUUCUCUAUUUUCCUAUUUAUAAGACUCUUUUCCUAGCUUAUUUCUUUGAUAUCAUACUCACAGAGGUAAUAUAUCUUUCGUUUGUUUAAGUUCUUAAUAGGUGAAAUGUAGGUGAACUCAUCACUACGAUAAGAAAGUGUUUGGUUUCAUCCAAGGAUAUUAGCGUGUCUUUGAUAUUGCUUGCUUUGAUCACAGAGGUAAACCAGAACAUCCUCCAAGGACUUUACACUAGAAAAAGUGAAGAGCCAUAUGCGUAAGUAGACAUUCUAAAGUUGGGCUGCUGAAUUUUGUCUCUGUCGCAGACCAGUAGAAGAACGUUUGACAAUGGAGGUAUUUUUAUGCAACAAAAAACUAAAGGAUCUAUCUUUCACGGCUCUCUGACUCCCUAAGCUCAAAAUGUCUCUUCCUCUUUCUGAUAUUAAUCUGCCCUUGGGUUAUCAUCAUAUAAGAUUCUCAGUUUCUGUUUCCAGUCUGUAUCUUUUUCAAGGUUAUGCGUAGUCUUGAGGUGUUAAAGGUAUGAUUGUAUUUACUUAUUCUUUCUGCUAUUUGACUAGUACUAAAUAAUAAGAUUUUUUAUUUUGUUGUUUUA